UUGUUGUCAACUGUUUAAUUCUUUUGCAUGCCAUAAUGAUAUAUCCUGUAUAAAAAGAAUUUGAUGGUCAGCUCAUGUUCAGGUCUAAAUAGUUGCAAAUUACUUACUUCUGUAGCAGUGUGCUGGAUCAAGAUGACAAAUCCUUGACAAACUGGCCAAAGAAAGGCGUCCCUGCAAUCUGACUAAAAGAAGGCGAUUUGGUCGAGAGAAGAUGGACUAAUCCUUUCGGCUAGAUCUGGCUAAAAGAUGUCUGCGCAAGACAAAAAGUUGAUUGUAUUGGUGCUAUAUUUAUAUAUUAUAAGCUUGAGAAUACGUGUUAGACUUGGUCCCGACACCUGAGCAACAAAAAGUUUUAUUUCCAUAAAAAUACGUGUUGUGAUGUGACGUUUC